rnacentral:SRP_RNA from 2 species
GCCGGGCGUGGUGGCGCACGUCUAUAGUCCCAGCUACUUAGGAGGCUGAGGCAGGAGAAUCAUUUGAACCCGGGAGGCAGAGGUUGUAGUGAGCCAAGAUUGCGCCACUGCACUCCAGCCUGGGUGACAAAGUGAGACUCUGUCUCAA